ACAGGUGGUGCAUGGUUGUCGUCAGCUCGUGUCGUGAGAUGUUGGGUUAAGUCCCGCAACGAGCGCAACCCUUGAUCUUAGUUGCCAGCAUUCAGUUGGGCGCUCUAAGGUGACUGCCGGGUACAAACCGGAGGAAGGUGGGGAUGACGUCAAAUCAUCAUGCCCCUUAUGACCUGGGCUACACACGUGGUACAAUGGACAGAACAAAGGACAGCGAAACCGCGAAGUUAAGCUAAUCCCUAAAAUCUGUUCUCAGUUCGGAUCGCAGUCUGCAACUCGACUGCGUGAAGCUGGAAUCGCUAGUAAUCGCGGAUCAGCAUGCCGCGGUGAAUACGUUCCCGGGCCUUGUACAACCCGCCC
rnacentral:rRNA from 1 species